rnacentral:rRNA from 1 species
AUUGAACGCUGGCGGCAUGCCUUACACAUGCAAGUCGAACGGCAGCGGGGGAGAAGCUUGCUUUUCCUGCCGGCGAGUGGCGAACGGGUGAGUAAUACAUCGGAACGUGCCCUGUAGUGGGGGAUAACUAGUCGAAAGAUUAGCUAAUACCGCAUACGACCUGAGGGUGAAAGUGGGGGACCGCAAGGCCUCAUGCUAUAGGAGCGGCCGAUGUCUGAUUAGCUGAGUUGGUGGGGUAAAGGCCUACCAAGGCGAGGAUCAGUAGCUGGUCUGGGAGGACGAGCAGCAACACUGGGACUGAGACACGGCCCAGACGCCUACGGGAGGCAGCAGUGGGGAAUUUUGGACAAUGGGCGAAAGCCUGAUCCAGCAAUGCCGCGUGUGUGAAGAAGGCCUUCGGGUUGUAAAGCACUUUUGUCCGGAAAGAAAUGGCUCUGGUUAAUACCUGGGGUCGAUGACGGUACCGGAAGAAUAAGGACCGGCUAACUACGUGCCAGCAGCCGCCGUAACAC